rnacentral:rRNA from 1 species
UUUGUUGUCCGACUCUGUUGCCUCCGGGGCGACCCUGCCUUCGGGCGGGGGCUCCGGGUGGACACUUCAAACUCUUGCGUAACUUUGCAGUCUGAGUAAACUUAAUUAAUAAAUUAAAACUUUUAACAACGGAUCUCUUGGUUCUGGCAUCGAUGAAGAACGCAGCGAAAUGCGAUAAGUAAUGUGAAUUGCAGAAUUCAGUGAAUCAUCGAAUCUUUGAACGCACAUUGCGCCCCCUGGUAUUCCGGGGGGCAUGCCUGUUCGAGCGUCAUUUCACCACUCAAGCCUCGCUUGGUAUUGGGCAACGCGGUCCGCCGCGUGCCUCAAAUCGACCGGCUGGGUCUUCUGUCCCCUAAGCGUUGUGGAAACUAUUCGCUAAAGGGUGUUCGGGAGGCUACGCCGUAAAACAACCCCAUUUCUAAGGUUGACCUCGGAUCAGGUAGGGAUACCCGCUGAACUUAAGCAUAUC